AUCCAGCCGACGAGUCCCAAACUGGAUGAAACGCGUGUCCUGGGU
rnacentral:hammerhead_ribozyme from 1 species